rnacentral:lncRNA from 1 species
UUCAAGUCUUCAUCCUAAACUCAACUCAGAUUACUCAUCCAUAUUCCCUCAUAUUUCAUUGUGGUCCUACGGCUUGUUUAUAGCAACAUAAUACAGGUAUCUGUGAUACAGGUCACUCCUGACAAAUGCUUUGAUAGUGUCCAUUGAAAAAAAUGUGCAUAAUAAAAGCUGACGAUUCUGUUUAAUUCGGCAAGCUGUAUGAAGACUUCAAGCCAAGGGCAGCCUCUCAGAUCUCAGGUACCACUCUGAACAGGUAAAAGAGGAGCCAGGAUAUAUGGGAGUUUUGCAACACAAAAACUAAUUGGAAUAUUAAAAAUUGCUAUUCAUUAAAAGAAGUUAAAUAUCUCAAGGAAUUUAAUAGUCUUUCAAUGUAUGGGAAGAUGCAAAAGCCUGGGCACGUUGGAAUCUUUCCUUUGAUAUGCACCUUAGCUAUCUAGGGCAAGUAUCCACCUUCGUAUCAUCCUGAGUUUCCUAGAUACACAGUUGGUGGGGUGUGGGAAAGGUGGCUUCUGUAGCUGAGACUUGAUGGAGGGCAUCCUUCUGCCAUCUUGAAUACCUUCCCGAGUGACUAUUGAGAGUGGAUGUGAUGUGAUCUCUGGAUGGCGGUUUACUAAUCUGGCAUUCACGACAGUCAGUAUACACAUUGGCACACGGCUGGCCCCCUGCUGUUGCAACCAGCGACGCUGCAGAUGGGGAAGCCCCCAUCAGUGUGCGUCCCCAGGAGGAGUCUCCAGUCAGAGUCCCAGACAACUUGGGAUGCUUGGCAUGCCUCCUAGCUUCAUCGAAUUACACAUAGCUGUGAUCCAGAUGGCCUAUGUCAUCAACAUCACCAUUGGAACACCCCCUCAAGAGUUCCGAGUCAUCAUUGACACCAGCUCGUCUGACUUGUGGGUUUCCUCCACCUACUGCUAA